UAAAUAUUAUAAGGCAAAUCCUCUGUAGUUUAUAAUCUAAAUGAAGUUUCGGUUUUUUUUCCUGCUGUGAAACCAGGAUAUUUCGAACUCAAAACCCGUGACCAAAUUUUAUAGUUUUUUCGUAGUGUUUUGUGCUUUAUUUCGAUAUCGCCCUGCAUAAUUAACAUGGCUAGAUCGACCCUGCUAUUGAUCCUGAUCCAGAAUAUUUGAAUGUGACAUACUUUUAAGCGAAAACAUUGAAUACUUUUCCUAUACGUGUAACGGGCUUAAAAAACAACGUUCUAAUAUUAAGAAACAAAACAUUAUUGACAAUUACAUGUCAAUAGCAGUGUGCACAGUGUCUGUACACAUAUUGACGGGAGACAAUUGUUUAAAUCUUAUAGGCGAAUUAAAAUAAAUAAAUAGAACACUGCGCACCUGGCAGGGGUAUAAAGCAGCUUAGCUCAGCGAUGUCUUAAUCAGUAAUUGAAAAUAUUCCAUAAAUACACUGUGCUCUUGGUUGUAUUGGGGCCACUUUAUUUCGUUGAAGCUUAUCAAGUGAUACCAUAUAUUGAAGAUGGAAUACAAGAUUACUUGAAUAUUAUGACAGAUCCAUUUGUCAAGAUCGGUCAAGGCCAUUACUAUAUUGACACCAGGGAAAAAAAGAACUGGUUUGAUGCAUCCGAGUCUUGUCAUCGCAUUAAUGCCCAUCUAAUAGCUUUUGAGACCAUUGAAGAAUGGGAUUUGGUUAAUCAGUAUCUAAUCAGUAUAUAUACACAGAUUAAUGAUAUAUACUGGACUUCGGGUGCGGACUUGGCGAAUCAGGGAAAAAAUGAUUGGUUUUACUACAAUGGAAAUGAGCAUUGUGACGAGUUGCGUGGCCGACGAGCCCCAACUAAUUACAACUCAUCUAAUGACAGCCAAUGUGAAUCAGACAGACACUACAUUUGUGAGAAAUCAUACCCAAUAAGAGCUUCGCUUGUUUCCUGGUAAUAGAAAAUAAUUUUAAAAUAAA